GGCUCCUUAGUCUAAAUGGUUAGGACACCAGCCUUUCAAGCUGGUAAUACCGGGUUCGAGUCCCGUAGGAGUCA
rnacentral:tRNA from 1 species